rfam:Pteropus alecto contig165107, whole genome shotgun sequence.
GUCUACGGCCAUGCCACCCUGAACAAGCCCGAUCCCGUCUGAAGCUAAGCAGGGUAGGGCCUGAUUGGUACUUGGAUGGGAGACCACCUAGGAAGACUAGGUACUGUAGGCA